GACGAACGCUGGCGGCGUGCUUAACACAUGCCAGUCGAACGGAAAGGCCCUGCUUUUGUGGGGUGCUCGAGUGGCGAACGGGUGAGUAACACGUGAGUAACCUGCCCUUGACUUUGGGAUAACUUCAGGAAACUGGGGCUAAUACCGGAUAGGAGCUCCUGCUGCAUGGUGGGGGUUGGAAAGUUUCGGCGGUUGGGGAUGGACUCGCGGCUUAUCAGCUUGUUGGUGGGGUAGUGGCUUACCAAGGCUUUGACGGGUAGCCGGCCUGGGAGGGUGGCCGGCCACAAGGGUACUACGGUACGGCGCAGACGGCUACGGUAGGCAGCAGGGGGGAAUAUUGCCCAGUGGGCCGGAGUCUGUUGCAACAGCCUCGCGUGCGUAAUGACCGCCUGCGGGGUAUGAACAGCUGUCGCCUGUGACGAAGCGUGAGUGACGGUAAUGGGUAAAUAAGCACCGGCUAACUACGUG
rnacentral:rRNA from 1 species